UCUUCUAAGUCAGUGCAAAACUAGUAAUGAUCUUACUGUUUACCUACGUGGCUAGAGCAGACUUUUUUCUGUUCAUGAGAGCUGAUUGUCAAAUAUUCAGGAAUUUCAUGACCUGGAUAUUAAACCUUGGAACUUUGAAAUUGGAAGUAUUUAUACCACAGAAAUUGUCAAUCACUUCAAAUCAGGGCUUUUUUGUUUUUCUUGAAAGCUGAUUUAUAUAUAUACCACUGUCUACUUUAAAUCAAUGUAGAAAAGUUACAAAGGAGAUGGCAGGUAAAAAAAAAACUUAAGGUUUCAAAGGGAAAGGUGAAUAACACAAGUAAACUAAAAACACAAAGAAAUUGAUGACAAAGGUGUAAUAAUUUUUUAGAAAGGUGCACAGAUGGAGAUACACGUAUUUAAGUAUUUGAAAGAUAGAGACCUGGUUAUUAGACUAAGCAAGUAUGAUAAUGAUUUAUGAAAGUGCAUCUGAAAUAAGGUGGUUUUGUUUUUAAAUUUUUGAGACAGGGUUUCACUCUGUCACCCAGUCUGGAGUGCAGUGGUGCAAUUACAGCUCACUGCAGCCUCGACCUCUCAGGUCGAUUGCUCAAGCAAUCCUCCCACCUCAGUGUCCCAACUAACUGGGACAGCAGGCAUGCACCAUGCCCGGUUAAUUUACUUAUUCUUUUUAAUUUUUUUUUGUUGAGACGGGGUCUCACUAUGUUGCCCAGGCUGGUCUAGAACUCCUGGGCUCAAGUGAUCCUCCCACCUUGGCCUCCCAAAGUGCUGGGAUUACAGGUGUGAACCACCACACCCAGCCUGUUUUCUUGUUAGUUGAAGUAGGCAGCACAAAUCAUAAUGAUUUUCACAAAUCAUAAUGAACACGCCCACAUAAGCACCAUCCAGGUAAUCAAGCAAACUUUGAAGAGACAAAAAGGUACUCUUUUGUGGAAAGUAAUGGAUUAGGCAUUCCUAGCACGCAUGCAACAGGAAAACGACUUGCAGCACCAUAACCGAUAUAUUUGAGCUUCAAGAAUUUCAGCUGCACAAUAAACCCUCCUCUGAAUUUUUAUUUUAUUGGAUGCUGCAGAUUAGUUUAUAAAGACUUUUUAGCUGUGCUGAUGAAUAUAUGUAAUAGCUAAAUUUAGGGCUUUUAAAAAACACUCCUUUGAGAUUUGAAGGUGUUGCUUAGCUACUCCUUUUCUUAGUGAAGUCUCUUAUUUAAUGUAAUUUCUUAUGCUGCAGGUGGGGGAAGUGGGCUAUUAUUGAAUAUCUUUCUGUCAGGUUUCAUAGCAUAUGCAGUAUACACAUUGCUGCUACUUUUGUGUUGUUAACUCCUUAGUCUCCUAAAACUAGACAUUUAAACCAUCAUUUGUAUAUGUAUGUGUGUGCAUUCUUUUCUUGGUGGAAAGGUUUAUAAUUGUGAUGAUAAUACCUGUAGUUAUACUAAAUUGUUUCAUUUUUACUGUAAAAAUUUUUUCAGUACCAGACCUUUAAAACAAGAAUUAUAUGGUAGCAUGAGAUUGUGCUAAAUGGUUUUCCAAAAUAAUUAAACCUUCAGAAGUGAACCCAUCCUUUAAGCCUGUGUUUUUUUCCUUGAGUCUCCUAGAGCUUCCAGUUCUCUACACCUGAACCUGGGCAUGGACCAUUGAAGGAUCAACAGAGUCCUUGUCAGCGGUGGCAACUGGGCAGUUGAAAGAGUUAGCAGUGUGGCUGUCUAUGAAACUGACAAGACUAAUUUUGUUGGCUCUAGUAUGGAACAGUAACCACUGUGCUACCAGCCAUAGAUCUACUUCAAUGCCAAAAUACAAAUGUAACCAUCCAGUUCCAUUGUCAACCAGCCCAUCUAAGUAAUGCUGUGACUAGUAAAUUAGAACCGACCCCUCAGCUAUCAAAUACACUUGAACCAUUUGGA
rnacentral:lncRNA from 1 species